GAUGAACGCUGGCGGCGUGCCUAAUACAUGCAAGUCGAGCGAACAGACGAGGAGCUUGCUCCUCUGACGUUAGCGGCGGACGGGUGAGUAACACGUGGAUAACCUACCUAUAAGACUGGGAUAACUUCGGGAAACCGGAGCUAAUACCGGAUAAUAUAUUGAACCGCAUGGUUCAAUAGUGAAAGACGGUUUUGCUGUCACUUAUAGAUGGAUCCGCGCCGCAUUAGCUAGUUGGUACGGUAACGGCUUACCAAGGCAACGAUGCGUAGCCGACCUGAGAGGUUGAUCGGCCAUACUGGAACUUAGACACGGACCACACUCCUACGGGAUGCAGCAGUAGGGAAGCUGCCGCAAUGGGCGAAAGCCUGACGGAGCACCGCCGCGUGAGUGAUGAAGUUCUUCGGAUCGUAAACCUCUGUUAUUAGGGAAGAACAAAUGUGUAAGUAACUAUGCACGUCUUGACGGUACCUAAUCAGAAAGCCACGGCUAACUACGUG
rnacentral:rRNA from 1 species